ensembl:snRNA U2 U2 spliceosomal RNA
AUCGCUUCUCGGCCUUUUGGCUAAGAUCAAGUGUAGUACCUGGGGUUUCCAGGCGCUACUGCCUGCCCACGCAGGAGACAUGAGAUGCAGGUUCCUUCCCUGGGUUGGGAAGACCCCCUGGAGGAGGGCACAACAA